rnacentral:misc_RNA from 1 species
AAUAGACGCAACCAAAAAAAAAAACAAAAAAAUAAUUUCUGCUUUCAGUUUCUUCUUUUGUAAAACCCUCACUCCUUUUCUUCCUUCUUUUACUACUUCCUGCUUUUGCACUCAUUGCUUUGAACAUUUUCCGCUUUAACUUCCUUUGCUGUUGUGAACUUUUUCAUAAUGGAAAUGGACUUGCCAGUUUCUGCCAUUGGUUUUGAAGGUUUCGAAAAGAGGCUCGAAAUUUCUUUCGUCGAGCCUGGUCUGUUUGCUGAUCCUAAUGGAAAAGGACUUCGAUCUCUCACAAAGGCACAGUUGGAUGAAAUUCUCGGACCUGCUGAGUGCACCAUUGUUGAUAACCUGUCAAAUGACUAUGUUGAUUCCUAUGUGCUGUCCGAGUCGAGCCUCUUCGUUUAUUCUUACAAGAUAAUCAUCAAAACAUGUGGUACCACAAAGCUGCUUCUUGCAAUUCCGCCCAUUCUGAGGUUGGCUGAGACCUUGUCUCUCAAAGUACAAGACGUGAGGUAUACCCGUGGGAGCUUCAUUUUCCCUGGUGCUCAAUCGUUUCCUCACCGCCACUUUUCUGAAGAAGUUGCUGUCCUCGAUGGAUAUUUUGGAAAGCUUGCUGCCGGUAGCAAGGCUGUGAUUAUGGGAAAUCCCGACAAAACACAGAAAUGGCAUGUCUAC